rnacentral:rRNA from 1 species
UGCGUAGGCGGUCGGGUAAGUCUGAUGUGAAAUCUCGGAGCUCAACUCCGAAACUGCAUUGGAUACUAUUCGGCUCGAGGUCUGGAGGGGGGACUGGAAUACUUGGUGUAGCAGUGAAAUGCGUAGAUAUCAAGUGGAACACCAGUGGCGAAGGCGAGUCCCUGGACAGGUCCUGACGCUGAGGCACGAAAGCUAGGGGAGCAAACA